AAUUAUCCUCAUAAGUUAGACGAGAAGAGGGACCGCAUAUAUAAAAAUAAAACAUUAUAUAAGGCGGUGGCACAAAAUCGGAGGCCCCGACUGUUUACUAAAAACACAACACAGUGCAAUCAUUAAUAUGAUAGUAUACUGUGUGAAAUUUGCCCAAUGCCAUUAAUAUAAGAGCGGUCAUGGGUAACUGUGACUAAUCGAAAAUCUGGUUAAUAGCGGUCUUAACUAUGAGGAUCCUAAGGUAGCAAAAUCAAUUGGCCGUUAAAUGCGGUCGAGUAUCAAUAAUGUAACGAUGGCCUCACUGUCUCUACAACUUGCUCAGUGAAAUUGAAUUACGCGUGCAGAUGCGCGUUGCCUCCAGGGGGACGGGAAGACCCUAUGCAGCU
rnacentral:rRNA from 1 species